CCUACGGGAGGCAGCAGUAGGGAAUAUUGGUCAAUGGGCGAAAGCCUGAACCAGCAACGCCGCGUGCGCGAUGAAGGCCUUCGGGUCGUAAAGCGCUUUUGGGAGGGAUGAAAAUGACAGUACCUCCCGAAUAAGGAUCGGCUAACUACGUGCCAGCAGCCGCGGUAAGACGUAGGAUCCAAGCGUUAUCCGGAAUUACUGGGCGUAAAGGGCGUGUAGGAGGUUGGGCAAGUCGGCCAUGAAAGCUCCCGGCUCAACUGGGAGAGGCUGGUCGAUACUGCCUGGCUAGAGGGCAAGAGAGGGAGGUGGAAUUCCCGGUGUAGUGGUGAAAUGCGUAGAUAUCGGGAGGAACACCAGUGGCGAAGGCGGCCUCCUGGCUUGUACCUGACUCUGAAACGCGAAAGCAUGGGUAGCAAACAGGAUUAGAAACCCUGGUAGUCCAUGCCAUAAACGAUGUCAACUGGGUGUCGGCGAAGUAAAAUUUGUCGGUGCCGAAGCUAACGCGUUAAGUUGACCGCCUGAGGACUACGAUCGCAAGAUUAAAACUCAAAGGAAUUGACGG
rnacentral:rRNA from 1 species